rnacentral:sRNA from 1 species
ACUUGCCUGAGGUGUGCGUUACUCGUUACGUCCCUGAGCCGAUAAUUUGAAACUUUGAGUUGGACAUCUAAAUGCCGGUGAGCAGGCUUACCUUGAGUAAGAAGCCUAAAGGCAAUUAAGUUCGACUCCCUUGAACCUUCUGGUU